UGGGGAAUAUUGGACAAUGGGCGAAAGCCUGAUCCAGCCAUGCCGCGUGUGUGAAGAAGGUCUUCGGAUUGUAAAGCACUUUAAGUUGGGAGGAAGGGCAGUAAAUUAAUACUUUGCUGUUUUGACGUUACCGACAGAAUAAGCACCGGCUAACUCUGUGCCAGCAGCCGCGGUAAUACAGAGGGUGCAAGCGUUAAUCGGAAUUACUGGGCGUAAAGCGCGCGUAGGUGGUUCGUUAAGUUGGAUGUGAAAUCCCCGGGCUCAACCUGGGAACUGCAUUCAAAACUGACGAGCUAGAGUAUGUAGAGGGUGGUGGAAUUUCCUGUGUAGCGGUGAAAUGCGUAGAUAUAGGAAGGAACACCAGUGGCGAAGGCGACCACCUGGACUGAUACUGACACUGAGGUGCGAAAGCGUGGGGAGCAAACA
rnacentral:rRNA from 1 species